rnacentral:tRNA from 1 species
UGGGGCAUAGCUCAGUGGUAGAGCGCAUGCUUAGCGUACCCGAGGUCCUGGGUUCAAUCCCCAGUACCUCUA